UCUAGACGCCGUUUUCGAUGCUUCCUUCAAAGGUCCCAGCGUUUUUCUUCUUCGUAGUUAUUAUUAUGGCAAUGACCGAGGCUUCCGCCGAAUGGCCAUAUUAUGAUACAGACGACGUUUGCGUGGGUCAAAGCUGUUCUUCUGAUGGAAGCAAUGGUUAUCCGCCUUGCCCUGUAGAAUGCAGCUGCAUGCCAGGCCGUAAUCGCGACGGGAAUGGUGUAAGAGUAGGCUAUUGCGCCUGACAGCCUGCUUUGACAUAACGCUGAAUAGAGUAAAUAAUAAAAAGGAUUCUUGAUUCGUCGUUCUCAGGAACGAAUCA